GUAGGUGAACCUGCGGAAGGAUCAUUAGUGAAUGUAGGGCGUCGCUUCGGCGAGCCCAACCCUCCACUUUUCAACUCUGUGCAUUUAUUGGCGGAAUGAAGCGAGCAAUCGCAACGUUCUGCGUCUCAUUUUUAAACACUAGUCAAAGUAUGUAACGAAAUAUCGAAAUAAAAAAAAACUUUCAACAACGGAUCUCUUGGCUCUC
rnacentral:misc_RNA from 2 species